AUUUACCGUCGCCGACUCUUGUUUCUCAAUACGCUACACAGCAUCAUAUAGUGAGAAUAUGUAUUACCUUUGGCAGGCAUAGGCUGAAGGACACCCAUGAGACUCUGAUUCAUCUCCCCUUAUGACAAAUCUGGCUUCUUCACAUAGGAAUCUUUACACAAUCUUUUCGACUGCAGUUGCAUGUUUAUUAGUUUUUAAUAGCAAAUUCUAUUUUAGAUAUGCUCGAUGGUGUUCUGGACUCUCAC